CUGGGACAUAAAAUCUUGACAUGAUCGCUGAUGAAAUGUUUAAUUAUAGAUCUAGAUAACUUUUUAAAAAAUUCUUAUCAUUGUGUUUUUGAAAAAUCUAGAUUUGUUUGUUGGAAAGGAGGAAUCCAUGGAUCAUGUCCUUUUAUCUUCUCAUAGUAAUUUUUUUUUUUUGGGUAGAAUAUCUUCUCAUGGUAAUUAAUUGACGUCGGA
rnacentral:lncRNA from 1 species